UAGAUUGAAGUCCGCUGGGUUGGGCGCUUAGUUGUUAACUAAGUUAUUACGGGAUCGAGGCCCGUCAGUCUAGC
rnacentral:tRNA from 1 species